rnacentral:tRNA from 1 species
UGCGGGAUCAUCUAAUGGUAGGAUACCAGACUCUGAAUCUGGUCAUCUAGGUUCGAAUCCUAGUCCCGCAG